GUAGGACACCCUACCCUGCCAAACCCCCUCACAGUUUCACAUCACCUUGUUUUCAGAAAGCCAGCCUUCCCCUCAACUUCUCUACGAAAGCAGGAGCUCUGCUAGGGCACGAAGCUUGUCCGCCUUCGAACUAGAGAAACCUCUUUUUUUUUUCCAGCCGUACUCGAGUUUCUGGAUCUGUGAUAUCCCCUUAGUUAGAGUCUGCUUGCUUUUGGUACUCCAAAACAGAGAUGAGAGGGAGAUUAGAGAUGGAUCCGGGAGACGCAGCGGUGCGGCUUAGUUCUUCCUGUCUGGAUGUCUUAGGAGUAGUUUCAUGGCCAUGAGGCCUUUUGUAUUAGUUGCCUUGAGGGCAACCCUUUUGCAAGACCGUUGAACCUUUAAAUUUCCUUUUGCUUAGGACUAUGUGGUAUGCCUAAGUUUCUUUUAAGUGACUCCGGAUGACUGUAAUAGUUACCCUUCUUACGUUUCAUGUUUAUUCGAUUGGCUUUCGU